rnacentral:misc_RNA from 1 species
UACAGAGGGCCCGAGCGUUGCGCGGAAUCACUGGGCUUAAAGGGUGCGUAGGCGGAAACUUAAGUGUCUUGUGAAAUCCCACGGCUCAACCGUGGAAUGGCAGGGCAUACUGGGUUUCUUGAGGCUGGUAGGCGCUGCCGGAACUGUAGGUGUAGCGGUGAAAUGCGUAGAUAUCUACAGGAACGCCGAUGGUGAAGACGGGCAGCUGGGCCAGUUCUGACGCUGAGGCACGAAAGCGUGGGGAUCAAACAGG